rnacentral:rRNA from 1 species
AUUGAACGCUGGCGGCAUGCCUUACACAUGCAAGUCGAACGGCAGCACGGGAGCAAUCCUGGUGGCGAGUGGCGAACGGGUGAGUAACAUAUCGGAACGUGCCCAGUAGUGGGGGAUAGCCCGGCGAAAGCCGGAUUAAUACCGCCAUACGACCUACGGGUGAAAGCGGGGGAUCGCAAGACCUCGCGCUAUUGGAGCGGCCGAUAUCAGAUUAGCUUGUUGGUGGGGUAAAAAGCCUACCAAGGCGACGAUCUGUAGCUGGUCUGAGAGGACGACCAGCCACACUGGGACUGAGACACGGCCCAGACUCCUACGGGAGGCAGCAGUGGGGAAUUUUGGACAAUGGGCGCAAGCCUGAUCCAGCCAUGCCGCGUGCGGGAAGAAGGCCUCGGUUGUAACGACUUUGUCUAGGAAGAAACGGUUUAGAGCUAAU